rnacentral:rRNA from 1 species
UGGGGAAUUUUGGACAAUGGGGGAAACCCUGAUACAGCCAUCCCGCGUGUGCGAUGAAGGCCUUCGGGUUGUAAAGCACUCUUGGCAGGAAAGAAACGUCAUGGGUUAAUACCCCGCGAAACCGACGGAACCCGCAGAAUAAGCACCGGCUAACUACGUGCCAGCAGCCGCGGUAAUACGUAGGGUGCAAGCGUUAAUCGGAAUUACUGCGCGUAAAGCGUGCGCAGGCGGUUCGGAAAGAAAGAUGUGAAAUCCCAGAGCUCAACUUUGGAACUGCAUUUUUAACUACCGGGCUAGAGUGUGUCAGAGGGAGGUAGAAUUCCGCGUGUAGCAGUGAAAUGCGUAGAUAUGCGGAGGAACACCGAUGGCGAAGGCAGCCUCCUGGGAUAACACUGACGCUCAUGCACGAAAGCGUGGGGCGCAAACAGG